ACUCCCGUAGCCCAAUUUUGGCAGAGGCGAUAGACUUAGACUCUAUGCGUUGCUGGUUCGAAUCCAGCCGGGAGUACCA
rnacentral:tRNA from 1 species